UACGAAGGGGGCUAGCGUUGUUCGGAAUUACUGGGCGUAAAGCGUGCGCAGGCGGCUUCUCAAGUCAGGGGUGAAAGCCCAGAGCUCAACUCUGGAACUGCCUUUGAGACUGAGAGGCUUGAGUACGGGAGAGGUGAGUGGAAUUCCCAGUGUAGAGGUGAAAUUCGUAGAUAUUGGGAGGAACACCAGUGGCGAAGGCGACUUCCUGGCCUGUUCUUGACGCUGAGGCGCGAAAGCUAGGGUAGCAAACGGG
rnacentral:rRNA from 1 species